UGAGAUGGCCUCGCGUCCGAUUAGCUAGUUGGUGAGGUAACGGCCCACCAAGGCGACGAUCGGUAGCCGGACUGAGAGGUUGAACGGCCACAUUGGGACUGAGACACGGCCCAGACUCCUACGGGAGGCAGCAGUGGGGAAUAUUGCACAAUGGGGGAAACCCUGAUGCAGCGACGCCGCGUGGAGGAAGAAGGUCUUCGGAUUGUAAACUCCUGUUGUUGGGGAAAAGAAGGAUGGUACCCAACAAGGAAGUGACGGCUAACUACGUGCCAGCAGCCGCGGUAAAACGUAGGUCACGAGCGUUGUCCGGAAUUACUGGGUGUAAAGGGAGCGCAGGCGGGUAUGCAAGUUGGGAGUGAAAUGCAUGGGCUCAACCCAUGAACUGCUCUCAAAACUGUGUAUCUUGAGUAGUGCAGAGGUAGGCGGAAUUCCCGGUGUAGCGGUGGAAUGCGUAGAUAUCGGGAGGAACACCAGUGGCGAAGGCGGCCUACUGGGCACCAACUGACGCUGAGGCUCGAAAGUGUGGGGAGCAAACAGGAUUAGAUACCCUGGUAGUCCACGCCGUAAACGAUGACUGCUAGGUGUCGGGGAGCAAAGCUCUUCGGUGCCGCAGCUAACGCAAUAAGC
rnacentral:rRNA from 1 species